GAUGAACGCUGACAGAAUGCUUAACACAUGCAAGUCUUUGGCGAAGCUGUGCUCGCACAGCCUAGCCAAGGCGGACGGGUGAGUAACGCGUAAGGAACUUGCCCUGCAGUCAGGGAUAACAGACGGAAACGACUGAUAAGACCUGGUAAAGUCAGGCGGACUCAUGUCCAGCCUGAUGAAAAGAGAUGCUGCAGGAGAGCCUUGCGUCCUAUUAGCUUGUUGGUGGGGUAACGGCCCACCAAGGCGAUGAUAGGUAGCCGGCCUGAGAGGGUGGACGGCCACAAGGGGACUGAGAGACGGCCCUUACUCCUACGGGAGGCAGCAGUGGGGAAUAUUGGACAAUGGGGGCAACCCUGAUCCAGCAAUUCUGUGUGCACGAUGAAGGUUUUCGGAUUGUAAAGUGCUUUCAGCAGGGAAGAAAAAAAUGACGGUACCUGCAGAAGAAGCGACGGCUAAAUACGUG
rnacentral:rRNA from 1 species